GAUGAACGCUGGCGGCGUGCCUAAUACAUGCAAGUCGAGCGAACAGACGAGGAGCUUGCUCCUCUGACGUUAGCGGCGGACGGGUGAGUAACACGUGGAUAACCUACCUAUAAGACUGGGAUAACUUCGGGAAACCGGAGCUAAUACCGGAUAAUAUAUUGAACCGCAUGGUUCAAUAGUGAAAGACGGUUUUGCUGUCACUUAUAGAUGGAUCCGCGCCGCAUUAGCUAGUUGGUAAGGUAACGGCUUACCAAGGCAACGAUGCGUAGCCGACCUGAGAGGGUGAUCGGCCACACUGGAACUGAGGCACGGUCCAGACUCCUACGGGAGGCAGCAGUAGGGAAUCUUCCGCAAGGGGCGAAAGCCUGACGGAGCAACGCCGCGUGAGUGAUGAAGGUCUGCGGAUCGUAAAACUCUGUUAUUAGGGAAGAACAAAUGUGUAGUAACUAUGCACGUCUUGACGGUACCUAAUCAGAAAGCCACGGCUAACUACGUG
rnacentral:rRNA from 1 species